AGAUGCAGAUGCCAAAUGUGAUUGGUGGGCCUAGGAUUUGUUUGCUUUGUUGUUGAUAUUAUUUGAUGUUCUUCCCAAUGGAGCAAAGUUCCCAAAAUUUAAGAACUCACUAUCCUGUUAACACUUGCCCUGAAGAUUCUGACUAAAAAGGCAAAAUGAUCAUGAAAAGAAAAACUAAAGGGGGGUGUUUUUCUUCUUCAGUGUAAAGGCGAAGGUGACAUUCGAGUAGUCAAACAAUGAAUGAGUAGCCAACAAAGAACUGAAAUGUGACCUUUCAGGCUUAGCAUCAAUAAUCUGAGGUAAGAAGGAGGGCCAAAACUAUUAACUUACCAGUAGUGAUGGAGGGAGGCCAGCACUUUGAGAGGGGCCAACAAGAGAGUAUCAAAAGUCCCAACCUGAGAGCAGUUCAUGAGCUGUGGGAUGUAGAACUAUUCAGCAACAAUAGUCACUGUGGUGACAUCACUAUGACAUGGUGAUAAAGGCAAUGUACUCAGAAUAUUCCUGCCAGGGACCAGGAUGAUUCCUCCUUCAAAAAUAGGGGAUUCUGUAGACUCUCAUAGGUAAAAGAAAAGGCCCUUGAUGGAGACUGACUGGGAGAUGGAAAAACUCCCAGUGAUUGGGAAUAUGGAGCCUGGGAGAACAAGGUCAGCUUCCUAGACAGGUUUCUGGAGUCACCGGGACUGGCACACAUACAGGGAAAGUCUCUGCUGGCACCUGCUCCUGGAUCCACAUUCUCCAUUGCUGAGGAAAGCAGAAGUUCACCUUCCUCUGGACAUUCAUGGUGAAUACAAGGCAAGCUUUCUCUGGCCAUGAAGGGUGAGCUGACAGUGGUUCUUCCCAUUUGACAGAUGAAGAUAUCAAUGCCAGCAUGACUGAAUCUUACAGAAGUUAACAACAGCUAAGGGUCCCCGUCCAGCGCUGACUCACUGAGCUGCUUAGAUUUUAUGGGUUCAGUGUUGAGUGAUGACCCAUGAACUAGUGAUAUUAAAAGGAUAAUCUGCCUAA